CCGGUGCCAUGGAAACGCGGCCUGUUGUCCCCGGCGCUGCGGGCAGCCUGGCGCAGCACGGGGCUCCGCGUGGCCCGUCCGGCCGCCUUCCAUGGACUCGGCCAGGGCCUACUGCCUCCCGCAAGUCCCCGCCUCGAGCCCCGCCCUUUCCUUCCCCUCUUCCCCGGCGGCGGCGGGCCUAACCCAGGCGCGGGCGCGGGCCGAGGCGCAGCUGCGCUCCGCGGUAGCCUGCGAGCGGGCCAUGCGCUGGAGCGAGGUUGUUGAACAUUAUACAGCACUCUUGAAAACUCUGAGCAAAGAGGAACUUCCUAAAGACUUUGAGCCUGGGCCUUACUAUUCACAACUGCUAUUUGAAACCUAUUAUCAUUUAGCUGUAGCUUUCCAAAGACAGAAUCACCAUAAGGAAGCAGUUCAAGAGCUUAAUAAAGCAAUAGACGUUGCAUCUAUCCCUAAGAUUGCUUGUCAAGUUGGAUGUGUUUCCAGAACUUUCCUUCAUACACCACUAUUUGCGAGAAGAGCGUAUGCAUAUGUAAAAUGUGGUCGUUUGAAAGAAGCAAUAGAUGAUGCUAACAAGGCUGUUGAGUUAGACCCUUUGAACCCUGCUUAUAAACUGGACAAAACUAGUAAAAAUUUCUUUGAUGUAGAAGAUUUCCAUAGUCCUAAAAUGGAUGAUUUCUAUGAUAGGUAAGUACUAGUGCACAUGGCAACUGCAAGGAGAAGUAAAUGACUUAUUUUUAUUAUGGCUGAAGUUAGGAUA
rnacentral:lncRNA from 1 species